rnacentral:rRNA from 1 species
GACGAACGCUGGCGGCGUGCUUAACACAUGCAAGUCGAGCGGUAAGGCCCUUUCGGGGGUACGACGAGCGGCGAACGGGUGAGUAACACGUGGGUGACCUGCCCUUACGCUCUGGGAUAAGCCUGGGAAACGUGGGUCGUAAUACCGGAUAUGACUCCAUACCGCAUGUUGUGGGGUGGAAAGCCUUGUGCGGCUAGGGAUGGGCCCGCGGCUUAUCAGCUUGUUGGUGGGGUGAUGGCCACCAAGGCGACGACGGGUAGCCGGCCUGAGAGGGCGACCGGCCACACUGGGAC